CAGCUUCAAGGGGUCUCUGGUGUAGUAGUGAUUGUGUGUGGUGUGGUGAGUUUGAUUUGGUGGUGAGUUCAAGUAUUACAGCUAGUUAAGCGGUGGUCACAGUUCAGUUUUGUUCAUUUCUUUUUUUGUUUUUUUUCUUAUUAUUUUGUUGCUGUUCUUGUGCAGUGGGUGGGGAGAGGCUAAAGAUAGUUACGAGAGAGAACCAAUAUCGCAGACCGGACGACGUAUAUGCCGAGGCCAUACUCUAUGUGCUGCCCAAGUGCAGCGAUGGCGGCACCGACGAUGCAUCCUUGUCGCCAUUCUCGGCAGAUGACAGCUGCUGUUGUUGUUGCUGCUGCUGCUGUUGUUGUUGUUGAAGCUGCUGUUGCGAGUGCGAGUGAGAUGACUGUUGUGGCUGCGACUGCUGCUGAGGUGCAUUUUGCAGCGAGAGGCUGAGAACUGCCGGCGAUAUAUGCGGCUCCGUCAGACGUCGCUUACUCUUCGUUUUCUUCAGCAUGGUGGCCUGAAUGUAGCAUAAAACACACAUUGUCAAAGGCGACUCAACGUCAAACACGCACACACACACUAGCUCUUUCACACGCACACCCUCAUUCACCCACAAACAAUUCCCUUGCAUUUAUUUUUGGCAGUGUUACCAACUUCACAUCACAAAAAGGAACAAGAAAUUUGAGCUUUCUUCGAUAUACCGAAGCGCAAUAUACAGACUUGCAGAUUGAUCAUAAAUAUUACUAA